rnacentral:rRNA from 1 species
CAGCCGUAAACUAUGCGCGUUAGGUGUACUGGUGACCACGAGUCACCGGGGUGCCGAAGGGAAACCGUGAAACGUGCCGCCUGGGAAGUACGGUCGCAAGGCUGAAACUUAAAGGAAUUGGCGGGGGGAGCACCACAACGGGUGGAGCCUGCGGUUUAAUUGGACUCAACGCCGGAAGCUCACCGGAUAAGACAGCGGAAUGAUUGCCGGGCUGAAGACUCUGCAUGACUAGCUGAGAGGAGGUGCAUGGCGUAGACGUCU